rnacentral:rRNA from 1 species
UGAGGAAUCUUCCACAAUGGGCGAAAGCCUGAUGGAGCGACACCGCGUGAAGGAUGAAGGCUUUGUUGUUGUAAACUUCUUUUCUCUGGGAAGAUAAUGACGGUACCAGAGGAAUAAGGGACGGCUAACUACGUGCCAGCAGCCGCGGUAAUACGUAGGUCCCAAGCGUUGUUCGGAAUUACUGGGCGUAAAGGGCGCGUAGGCGGUUCGCUAAGUCAGGUGUGAAAUCCCCCGGCUCAACUGGGGAACUGCGCUUGAAACUGGCAGACUUGAGUACGGGAGAGGGUAGCGGAAUUCCGAGUGUAGAGGUGAAAUUCGUAGAUAUCAGGAGGAACACCGGUGGCGAAGGCGACUUUCUGGCCCUAUACUGACGCUGAGACGCGAGAGCGUGGGUAGCAAACAGG